GCGAUGAAACCGGCAGCGCGCAGGUAGAUUCAAACCCGGAUAACGCUUCGGAGGACUUGAGCUCCGACUCCGACUCCGACUCCUCCGACUUCUGUGCAGAGCGGGACGGAAAUGAUGAGUUGGUGGACAUCGAGACCGUGGAGGAAGUGGGAAACGAGCCGGCCAUCGCUCAGAUGAAAGAAGCCGUCCGCGUGGCAACAAACGCGUCGGGAGAGCAACGCCGCAGUACGGGGUCAACGGGGUCAAUGAAGCUAUUACAAGACCAGGUACAACACAGACGUGCAUUUCUUAAGCUUCUCCUUCAUCUCGAGAAACGAUGAAAGUGGAAUAAAAAAUAAAAAAAUGUUGUUAAAUAACUGUCUUUCCACUUGAUUAUUGUGAAUCAGAGU